UGGAUUCCUCCAUGUGCAGAGGGCUCUAUGUGGAUGGGUAUUUUUGGACCUUGAGUUGACUUAUGUAAUUCUUUGAGCAGAACAACCAAAUCUGUUAUUUGAUUGCUUAAUCCUUCGAGCUCCUCACGAGAGAUAGGAGUAGGAUUAGGCUGGCUAGAUGUGGCCAUGUUUGGCUGAAGGCUUAGUUCCUUCUUCGAACGGGUAACGAGACCAAUUGUUUCC
rnacentral:lncRNA from 1 species